rnacentral:rRNA from 1 species
GAUGAACGCUAGCGGGAGGCCUAACACAUGCAAGCCGAGCGGUAUUUGUUCUUCGGAACAGAGAGAGCGGCGCACGGGUGCGGAACACGUGUGCAACCUGCCUUUAUCUGGGGGAUAGCCUUUCGAAAGGAAGAUUAAUACCCCAUAAUAUAUUGAGUGGCAUCAUUUGAUAUUGAAAACUCCGGUGGAUAGAGAUGGGCACGCGCAAGAUUAGAUAGUUGGUGAGGUAACGGCUCACCAAGUCAAUGAUCUUUAGGGGGCCUGAGAGGGUGAUCCCCCACACUGGUACUGAGACACGGACCAGACUCCUACGGGAGGCAGCAGAGAGGAAUAUUGGACAAUGGGUUAGCGCCUGAUCCAGCCAUCCCGCGUGAAGGACGACGGCCCUAUGGGUUGUAAACUUCUUUUGUAUAGGGAUAAACCUACUCUCGUGAGAGUAGCUGAAGGUACUAUACGAAUAAGCACCGGCUAACUCCGUG